AUUGCGCGUUCGUGUGUGUGCGUGUUCGCGUUGGAGGAUCUAAUGCGUUGACACAAAAGUGAUAAUAUUCUUUCUUUUGUUUUAGUUUCAGAACGAUUUAAGGAACGAUUUCAUUCACAAACCUAUAAUAUAAAGAGGAAUUGCAAAAUGUGUUGGUUCCUUGAAGUCCCAGGAUGACUUUUACGGAAAAUAAUUUCCGGGAAACCCCUAAAACAGCCCUUUUCUUUUUCCUAUAUAAAUAUGGCGCGUUCGUGUGUGUGCGUGUUCGCGUUGGAGGAUCUAAUGCGUUCACACAAAAGUGAUAAUAUCGUCAACUCGACCAAAUUGAAAAGUCAAAAAAUGUAAGAGCUAUAGAUUUGAUUAGCCUCGCAAUAUUCUUUCUUUUGUUUUAGUUUCAGAACGAGUUAAGGAAUAAUUUCAUUCACAAAUAAUAAAUAGUUAAGUAAAUUCUAAGAAUAAUCAUGCAGUGCUGAACAAAUCCAAACAUAUUUUAAGAAUACCAAAAGAUAAACAUACAUAUGUAUUUUAAGAAUAACAAAAGACAAACAUAUUUUAAGAAGAAGAAGAUAAACAUAUGUUAAGGAUAACAAAAGACAAACAUUAUUAAUUAAUCUAAAAAACCUAUGUUUUUCACAUGGUCAAUUGUAUGUUGCCUGUUCCCGUGUUGGAAAACCAUCAGAUUUGUUUGUAUAUACACCACGUAAUCAAACAAAAACAUUGUAUAUCAUAAAGCACUACAAUAAAAAUAAAACAGAUUUUUGUUAAUAAUUAUGAUUCACUUGAUUUACAAUAAAGCGAUUACUGAAAAUA